GACGAACGCUGGCGGCGUGCUUAACACAUGCCAGUCGAACGGAAAGGCCCUGCUUUUGUGGGGUGCUCGAGUGGCGAACGGGUGAGUAACACGUGAGUAACCUGCCCUUGACUUUGGGAUAACUUCAGGAAACUGGGGCUAAUACCGGAUAGGAGCUCCUGCUGCAUGGUGGGGGUUGGAAAGUUUCGGCGGUUGGGGAUGGACUCGCGGCUUAUCAGCUUGUUGGUGGGGUAGUGGCUUACCAAGGCUUUGACGGGUAGCCGGCCUGAGAGGGUGACCGGGCAGAAGGGGGGAGAGUUGCGGCCCGGGCGCCAGCGGGAGGCAGCAGCGGGGAAUGUGGGACGACGGGCGGAGGCCUGACGCAGCCGUGCCGCGGGGGGGAAGCGGGCGUGAGGGUUGUAAACCACGAUCGCCUGUGAAGCAGCGUGCGUGACGUUAAUGGGUAAGGAAGCACCGGCUAACUAUGUG
rnacentral:rRNA from 1 species